UGUUUAACGGCCGCGGUAUUUUAACCGCGCGAAGGUAGCGUAAUCACUUGUCUUUUAAAUGGAGACCUGUAUGAAUGGCAUAACGAGGGUCUGACUGUCUCCUACACCUAGUCAAUGAAAUUGAUCUGCCCGUGCAGAAGCGGGCAUACCUACAUAAGACGAGAAGACCCUAUGGAGCUUUAGGUAAAUGAUCAAGCGAAACAAGUCACGGCCAUAGUAAAGGCCUAGAAAAACAAGAACUAAUGAUCAAGAUGCCUUCGGUUGGGGCGACCAUGGAGGAAACAAAAGCCUCCAAGUGGAAAGGGAAAACCCUUGAACUAAGAGAGACACCUCGAAGUAACAGAAUUUGUGACCAAAUAUGACCCAGGAUUUUAACCUGAUCAACGAACCCAGUUACCCUAGGGAUAACAGCGCAAUCCUCUCCCAGAGUCCCUAUCGACGAGGGGGUUUACGACCUCGAUGUUGGAUCAGGGCAUCCUAAUGGUGCAGCCGCUAUUAAGGGUUCGUUUGUUCAACGAUUAA
rnacentral:rRNA from 1 species